CAGCAGCCGCGGUAAUACGUAGGGUGCGAGCGUUAAUCGGAAUUACUGGGCGUAAAGCGUGCGCAGGCGGCUUUGCAAGACAGAGGUGAAAUCCCCGGGCUCAACCUGGGAACUGCCUUUGUGACUGCAAGGCUAGAGUACGGCAGAGGGGGAUGGAAUUCCGCGUGUAGCAGUGAAAUGCGUAGAUAUGCGGAGGAACACCGAUGGCGAAGGCAAUCCCCUGGGCCUGUACUGAUGCUCAUGCACGAAAGCGUGGGGAGCAAACAGGAUUAGAUACCCUGGUAGUCCACGCCCUAAACGAUGUCAACUGGUUGUUGGACGGCUUGCUGUUCAGUAACGAAGCUAACGCGUGAAGUUGACCGCCUGGGGAGUACGGCCGCAAGGUUGAAACUCAAAUGAAUUGACGG
rnacentral:rRNA from 1 species